rfam:Lasallia pustulata genome assembly, contig: scaffold29932_size838
GACCCGGUCGUCUAGUGGUUAAGACAUAACAGUUUAACUGUUAAAAUGAGAGUUCGGAUCUCUCCUGUGUCA